rnacentral:rRNA from 1 species
GACGAGCCACACAAACGUUAUUCGGAAUUACUGGGCUUAAAGGGUGCGUAGGCGGCGCGGAAAGUUGGGUGUGAAAUCCCUCGGCUCAACCGAGGAAUUGCGCUCAAAACUACCGUGCUCGAGGGAGAUAGAGGAGCGCGGAACUUAGGGUGGAGCGGUGAAAUGCGUUGAUAUCCUAGGGAACACCGGUGGCGAAAGCGGCGCUCUGGAUCUCAUCUGACGCUGAUGCACGAAAGCUAGGGUAGCGAACGGG